rnacentral:rRNA from 1 species
UGGGGAAUAUUGGGCAAUGGGCGAAAGCCUGACCCAGCAACGCCGCGUGAAGGAAGAAGGUUUUCGGAUUGUAAACUUCUGUCCUCAGGGAAGAAGAAAGUGACGGUACCUGAGGAGGAAGCCCCGGCUAACUACGUGCCAGCAGCCGCGGUAAUACGUAGGGGGCGAGCGUUGUCCGGAAUGACUGGGCGUAAAGGGCGCGUAGACGGCUGUCUAAGUCUGGAGUGAAAGUCCUGCUUUCAAGGUGGGAAUUGCUUUGGAGACUGGAUGGCUUGAGUGCGGAAGAGGUAAGUGGAAUUCCCAGUGUAGCGGUGAAAUGCGUAGAGAUUGGGAAGAACACCAGUGGCGAAGGCGACUUACUGGGCCGUAACUGACGUUGAUGCGCGAAAGCGUGGGGAGCGAACA